GUCUAACUCUCUUUUAUGUGUUAUGUGCUGGACCGUUGGGGGUCCAGAUUGACAGGUUUUUGUGGUAUUCGAUGUCGAGUCGUCGGUGAAGCUCCGCUCUGAUUGUGACACGGGAAAAAGGGGUUUUAUAUGUAUAUAGAGUCUCCUUAUCUAGGUUGUUUUGUAUAGCUAAUAAAUACAUUAGUUGAUUUAAGAUUUGUAUAAACAAGCAUUUUUACUAAUUAACCACAUUAGUAUUAUUUUGAUUGAAGAAUGUAAUACUCGAACCACAACUUUUAUAAUAUCAAACAUUACUUUCC
rnacentral:lncRNA from 1 species